AGUAUUUACAUUCAAGGUGUGGCCGAUUUGUCAAUCAUGGGAGGGAGAGAUUUUAAGGCUUUCUGUAGCGAGGAUGUCACGCCUCCUCAACCUCAACAAAGGCUGUACAACCUUGUGUCCUCACAGCUACUGUAACAAGAGGUCAAUGUAUAAAAGUUAUUUACUACAGAGAGGUGAAGGCAUAUUAACCAUGCAUGAAUGCUUUCAUAUUGUCACUGGCAAAUGUUUUGACAUAAUAACUAAUGUAAAAAAAUGUACAAUAAAAUAUGCAUUUAUUUAUAGUGAUUUAAGAACCAUUUACUGAAAACAAUCCUGCACAUUGAUCUUGUGUGCUUACAAACUCACACAAUACUCAUUUACAACCAACAUAAAUAUAUUUCAGAUAUAAAAACAGUACUGUACACCUAUCCUUAAGAUACAAUUUGAAUGGAGUAGAUUGUCGAGGACUGGGUGUGUUUAAUCACUGGCAUUAGGAACCAGAUCAGCUGGUUAUCAACUGUGUUGGGGCCCUCCCGACAAAAUUCCACUGAAGCCCUUUGCUUCUAAAUUAUUUCAAAAGGAAACCCUUAUGUAAAACAUGCUGAUUUGGUUUGAACUGGAGUUUUUCAUUUGAAUAGAAAAAAAACAACCUGAAAAUUCUCUGUGCUCAUCGACAGAAAGAAACCGAGUGUAAACAUGUACAAAAGGCAUUUUGAGAGGCAUUAGUUAACUCAUACAUUGUUUACCUUGGAAAGUGGGAGGUUUAAG